AGUGAACGCUGGCGGUAGGCCUAACACAUGCAAGUCGAACGGCAGCACAGUAAGAUCUUGCUCUUACGGGUGGCGAGUGGCGGACGGGUGAGGAAUACAUCGGAAUCUACUUUUUCGUGGGGGAUAACGUAGGGAAACUUACGCUAAUACCGCAUAUGACCUACGGGUGAAAGCAGUGGAUCUUCGGACCUUGCGCGAUUGAAUGAGCCGAUGUCGGAUUAGCUAGUUGGCGGGGUAAAGGCCCACCAAGGCGACGAUGCGUAGCUGGUCUGAGAGGAUGAUCAGCCACACUGGAACUGAGACACGGUCCAGACUCCUACGGGAGGCAGCAGUGGGGAAUAUUGGACAAUGGGCGAAAGCCUGAUGCAGCAAUACCGCGUGAGUGAAGAAGGCCUUCGGGUUGUAAAGCCCUUUUGUUGGGAAAGAAAAGCAGCAGGUUAAUACCCCGAUGUUCUGACGGUACCCAAAGAAUAAGCACCGGCUAACUUCGUG
rnacentral:rRNA from 1 species